rnacentral:rRNA from 1 species
CAGCCGCCGGGGAAUACGUAGGUGGCAAGCGUUGUCCGGAAUUAUUGGGCGUAAAGCGCGCGCAGGCGGAUCAGUCAGUCUGUCUUAAAAGUUCGGGGCUUAACCCCGUGAUGGGAUGGAAACUGCUGAUCUAGAGUAUCGGAGAGGAAAGUGGAAUUCCUAGUGUAGCGGUGAAAUGCGUAGAUAUUAGGAAGAACACCAGUGGCGAAGGCGACUUUCUGGACGAAAGCUGACGCUGAGGCGCGAAAGCCAGGGGAGCGAACGGGAUUAGAUACCCCCGUAGUCCCUGUCUCUUAUACAC